rnacentral:miRNA from 1 species
CUUGCCUCAACCACCGGGAUGGUUUCCUCCCGGUCAAUCCAGGCUGCUUGCCUCAAUGACCGGGAAGGAUCAGCCCCAUUGACCAAAGGAGAUUCGGGAGGAAUACCUCCCAGUCGCUGAGGCAAGCGGCCUCGGUCGACUGGGAGGAAAACCUCCCGGUUGUUGAGGCGAG